rnacentral:rRNA from 1 species
GUCUACAGCCAUACCACUCUGAACAUGCCCGAUCUCAUCUGAUCUCGAAAGUUAAGCAGGGUCAGGCCUGGUUAGUACUUGGAUGGGAGUUCACAGUUUGUGGAGGUUUUGGUCU